GUAAUGAUUAAUAGGGAUAGUCGGGGGCGUCAGUAUUCAGCUGUCAGAGGUGAAAUUCUUGGAUUUGCUGAGACUAACUACUGCGAAAGCAUUCGCCAAGGAUGUUUUCAUUAAUCAGGGAACGAAAGUUAGGGGAUCGAAGACGAUCAGAUACCGUCGUAGUCUUAACCAUAAACUAUGCCGACUAGGGAUCGGACGGGAUUCUAUGAUGACCCGUUCGGCACCUUACGAGAAAUCAAAGUUUUUGGGUUCUGGGGGG
rnacentral:rRNA from 1 species